rnacentral:rRNA from 1 species
UAGGGAAUCUUCCGCAAUGGGCGAAAGCCUGACGGAGCAACGCCGCGUGAGUGAUGAAGGUCUUCGGAUCGUAAAACUCUGUUAUUAGGGAAGAACAAAUGUGUAAGUAACUAUGCACGUCUUGACGGUACCUAAUCAGAAAGCCACGGCUAACUACGUGCCAGCAGCCGCGGUAAUACGUAGGUGGCAAGCGUUAUCCGGAAUUAUUGGGCGUAAAGCGCGCGUAGGCGGUUUUUUAAGUCUGAUGUGAAAGCCCACGGCUCAACCGUGGAGGGUCAUUGGAAACUGGAAAGCUUGAGUGCAGAAGAGGAAAGUGGGAUUCCAUGUGUGGCGGUGAAAUGCGAAGAGAUAUGGAGGAACACCAGUGGCGAAGGCGACUGUCUGGUCUGUAACUGACGCUGAUGUGCGAAAGCGUGGGGAUCAAACAGG